rnacentral:lncRNA from 1 species
GAUGCACUCGUAUGGACAUGGUAACUACAUAAAGAAUGCAAUGAGAUGAGAUGGUCUUAUAGGCAUGAUUUCUGAUACAUAUGAGAAAUAUAAAUCCCCCCAUGUCCCUUUCACCAUACCCCCGAGUUUAUAUUACAACUUAUUACAAAUUGGGCAGAAAAUAGAGACAUUAAAGAAGUAAAUAUUUACAAGUACAUCAGCAGCUAUCAACAUGCCUGAGGAGUCUCGAAGCAACUUUAACUUCCACAUAUGCCUUUUACCAAAUCCAAGCUCCAAAGAGAGGCCUUUCUCAUUUAAGGGUGUUACAAAGUUCCAAAGGCCUUCAAAAGAGACCCAGGCAUUGCUUACACCCUAGUUGGAAUNNNNNNNNNNNNNNNNNNNNNNNNNNNNNNNNNNNNNNNNNNNNNNNNNNNNNNNNNNNNNNNGUUGGGGAUGUAAUAGUGCAAGUGUGGAAUUACCAUCCCUAAGGCAUCCAAGUUCAGAAGAGACUCUCAGGGUCCCUAAGCAUGGCUGGCCAAAGGGGGUAGGAACUUAAUGGGCUAAGAAUAAGUGCAAAGCGAAGAUUAGAGGGGAAAACCAAUGUAUGAAAUGGUCAUACCCAGCCUAUUGAUUGAGACUGGCACACCCCAAACUUCUUACAAUGGUUACAAACAGGAGCAGACUUGUAAACAAGUCAGCCAAGGGCCUGGAAGGUGAUUAGGACACCAACAGGCCUUUGCCAAGGCUCAAACCCAUAAGAAAGGGAAAAGGGAAUGGGAUCAUUUUGAGUAUAGGAAAUUAAGCCUUGGUUCUAGAUUAGAAGUGGCAAUGGGAUGCCAUUCUCAUCCAAAACAAAACUCAUAAGCAAACAUGGAUUAAAAAGGGAAGGGGUAAUCACAUAAAGACUUAAUAGACAAGAUUAAAUUGAAAGACUAACAGAAAUAAGCAUAGUGAUGAACAAUAUACUAACAGAAGAAGAAAUGUAACAUGCAUGAAAGGUACUGAAUAUAAACAACCAAAGAGAAAGGGAGAAGAAUUAGCAUGCUGAAAUUUAACACAAGCAGGCAUACUGAAACAGAUAAGGGAAUGGGAAGGGGAUUAAACAUGACUCAAAUCUACAGCAUAAACAAAGGGAACAAGGGGAGAGGAUUUAAACAUACUAUAACUUAAAUGCAAUACUGAAGUAAACAGACAAAGGGAUGAAGGGAAGGGAAUUAAUACUGAAUUUAAACAUAACAGGCAGGGACUACUGAAGUAAACAGAUAAAGGGAUGAAGGGAAGGGAAUUAAUACUGAAUUUAAACAUAACAGGCAGGGAGACACGGAAAGGGGGUAGUUAUGCAGAAAUUAAACUGUAAGUAUAACAGGCAAGGACAUAUUCAGUAAACAAGUAGUUGAAGGAUUGGUAAUUGAAAUUAGGGCCUACCAGUUGCACUUGAAUAACAAGGCGAAGAGAGAUAUUCUAUAAUUAGCAUUGGCUUUCAGCCGGCUGCCCUUUAACAAAGAGAGCAAGUAGCAAGAAGAGAAGAGAAAAAGCAGAGAGGCUUUUAGUGAGAAGAGUAGAGAGAACUAAAGUUGUUCAGUGUGUGUUAAGUGAGAAAAGAGAGACCCUUUUUAUAGUUGAAAGAAAAGCAUCAGUAAGGUAAAGGAAAUAUUCAGGAAAUCAGUUAGUACCAAUUAGGAGAAGGGCAUCCCUUCAAUUAAGGGAACCGGAUGGAAAAGUAAAAUUAGUCCAGUUCUAAAUUUGGAAAGACAUUAUAGCAUUGAUCACAGAAUACAAGGUAGAUACAUAUAGGAAAAUUUAAAAAAAACACACUGUUGGACAUAUAAGGUAAAUAAUCACCCAAGAAAUCAAGGAGUCGAGAUUUUACUUGCAUGAACUUAGUCAGAAAACAGGGAAUCAUUAGAGAAUCAGAGUUGUACCAAAAUCAAUUAGGGUUUCAGGGAAAAGGGAGAAGCAGCACAAUAAAAGAUUCACAAGUCUGAUAGGGAAUCAUUAGAGAAUCACAGUUGUACCAAAAUCAAUUAGGGUUUCAGAGAAAAAGGAGAAGCAGCACUAUAAAAGAUUCAUAAGUCUGAGCAUGAAUGAACUAGGCAUAGCAGAAUAGCAAAACACAUACGAGAAGAUAAUUAGGCAAACUAGAGUUUCACAGAGAAAGAUGAAAAUACCCUUUAGAAAUUAGAGUUCUACUACAAGUGGGAACACAAGAGAUUAGCAUAGAUGAAGACGAGCAAGAAUAGAACACAAAGAAAGCAGAGAACUAACUGAAUGAAAGCCCUAGAAAGGUAAUCAGUGAGGCAAAAAUAUUUAGGGCUAAAGUAGAAAACACUCAGAAUCGUGAAGAAGGACACAUAGUAGCGAGAAAUAAAACAACAAAAUCAAAAAAUCAAACAGUUCAUAGAAACCCUAGGUUUUGAAAAGAUGAACAGUCUUGAAAAACAGAACUGAGAGGAGAAAAGAUAAGAUACUUAAGAAAAUCUUAGAAAACAAACAAAAACUUACAGAAGAUCGUUAAAUAACAUAGAGAAUCAUGAAAAGAACCUUGAAUCGAUUAGGUUUCUCAUAAAAGGCCUCAGAAAUGGCGAGAAAAGCCUGGACGACUCAUCGGAGCUUGGUGAGGACCCAAGGCUUCAAAGGCUCGCCGGAGAAGAGCCAAACACGACCGUGAAACCACCAUUAAAGGACCUCUGGUCCAGUUAACCUCAAAAUAACCCCGAUCUUCAAACCCGAAGGUUAAGAACGGUGAUAGAUGAACGAGCAUGUGAGUUUCCGGCCAUAGAAUGGCCAUAGAAGCCGACGAAGAAGCCUGAAAGUGACUAGGGUUUAGAGAGAGUUCAGAGAAAAUUUUGGGAGUGAAAGGC